GUGCUCUCUUCGGCAGCACAUCAACUAAACUUGGAAUGAUACAGAGAAGAUUAGCAUGGAUGUGUAAGGAUGACAUGCAAAUAUGUGAAGCAUUCUAUAUUUUU